UGGAAAUAAAAUACCCCUAUAUAAAGGAGGACUGAUGUGACGGGAGAUCAGGUGAGGAUUGAAUCUUAAUGGGUUCACAUCUCCAGAAGUUGAGGGGAACAGAGUUGAUUAAGAUAUUCUAAAACAUUCUUUUAUCCUGGGAAGACACAUCUGAAUACGAAAGUUCUUGAAUAGAACUUUUUAGAAAUGAAAUACCUGUAUAUAAGGGUGGACAGAAGCGACUGGAGAUCAGUUGAGAAUUGAAUCUCAAUAAGUUCACAUCUCCAGAAAUUGAUGGGAAUGAAGUUGAUUGAGACAUUCUAGAACAUUCUUUUAUUCUGGGAAGACACAUCUGAACACGAGAGUUUUAAAAUACACCUUUCUGGAAAUAGGAUACCCCUAUAU